CUUGAUAACUCAACGCAUGGAAUGACACACUUUGCAUUGUCUAACAUUUCAGUGAAACCUUUGGAAAAAAAAAAUUAACACCGCAGCGUCGACGACAAUACCGUCAACACUGUGUCAUCCUUUCAUUAUAGGACGUCAACACUCGUCCAACUUUUUUACGCUCGGUUUAGUGCACGCCAUAAAAGACCGACGUUAUUCAUCGCAAGCUACCUUCAUUUGUGCAUGUUGAGCAAAUGUGAUGCAAUUCCCAACUAUAAUCUAAAAAGAAAAUACGAUAAAUAUCGUACAGUAUAAAAGUGGUUUUUAACUGAGUAGUGUAAUCGUCGCGUCACCUUUCCACGCAACACUGGAUCGACGUAUUCACCAGCAGACGCAUUGAAACCGGACCAUCAUCGCCGCCGUGGCUGCUCAUCAUUGACGGCAGCAGAUGAAACCGGACCACCUCAUUCGCCAUUAUGGCCCCGAGGGCAGCUUUCAAACCGGACCAACAUGGCCGCCGUGGCCUUCUAUCCUACACGGAAUUAGUGAAACUAACAUUAGGAAACUUGCUAUACCAGCUGUAGUGGUUGCCAAAUGUAGUCAUAAUAAUAAUAAUGAUGUAUUAUCCCAUUAAACAUGUUUUGAUGAACAUUUCCACUAAUUUGACUAAUAUUAACCAGAAUCUACUGCAGAAAUUAAAAGCUGAUGAGCAAAUUUGAUAAUUGUUUUAAUGUGAUGUAUGUUUUUAAUGUUUAGUCUACCGACCACACAAAUAUGUCAAGUAACUGUAAAUGUUAAGUUGCUCCAAAAACUAGAGUGGCUAACAACUAGUACCUUAGCCACUAGCUAACUGUUAUGCCAAUCUUAUUAAAUUCAUUUUUAAUUGCCAACUUGUCAAGUAAACAAAGACAAAGCCAGCUUUUUUAGGGAGGUUAAUGGUGCACUGACUUGCCUAGUCAGCUUGGAGCUAUAAUAUAAUAAAAUUCAAAUAGGCAAUCUUUAAACCUAAAGGUUGGGUGACAUAACAAAGGGCUUUGAUGGCUUUUAAGAGGCUCGGUUUGUCCUGCCACUUUAGUGGGUGGAUCGUAGAGAUCCACGCCAUCUCGCCAAGCGAGUCCAGAAGGAGUUUCAUGCGCUCCUCGAGUUCGGGGAGGAAACUUGAUGAGAACUCGGCUGAAUUUGAAGUUGCUGAAGUGGACGCUUAGAAGACUGCAAGUCAAAGUGGAGAUUUUAGGCAGCCCGGAGUGAACAGCAUGGAGCACUCUCAGACGCUGCCCACUGACGAGGAUGUCAAGUGGGACAAGCUGCUGGACAACAUUUUGAAGUCGUCCGACGCCAUCCUGUGGGGCUCCACGUCCGCCAGCGUCCCACUGCCGCCGGAGCCACCGCAGCCGGAGCCACCGCAGCCUCCACCGCUGCCACCGCACCCGCUGCUGCCACUCCUCCCACUGCUGCCACCAUCACCUAAAGAAGCCCAUCCUCUGCCCGUCACGACUGCAGCGAGCGAGCCCAAAGGAGCCAUGGAAUUGUUGCCCCUAGCGGGUGGUCAAGAUCACCUGGAGCUGCUGAUGGAGGGGAGCCCCCCGGAUAUGGACGAUGAGCUCUCCAACGUUCUGGAUGACUUUUGGUUGCCCGACUAUCUGGGUGGCCAAGCGGGUCCUAUCAACAUCCAUGACCAGGUAACCAACAGACACCUUUCAAACCCUCCUGCAUUUGUUAAGUAGCCCAAAAAGUUGGCUCGUCACUUUCCAUCCAAUUUGGGUUUAUUUUGAUCCAACUUAUUUCAGAGUGUGCACCUUUAAAACUGCUGGGUAAAAAA